AAGAGGUGCGAGGGGCUGAAAGGCGCCGAGCAUAUUGAGAGGGUGUGGUUUUGAUGAGGGGGUUGUAACAGUUGUGAUGACUGCUACAUGCUCCUUUUCACUUACUAUUCACGAUCUUCAACCACGUAUUGAGCAAGUGAUUGCGACACA
rnacentral:misc_RNA from 1 species